rnacentral:tRNA from 1 species
ACCUGGGUGGCUCAGUUGGUUGAGUGUCCGACUUUGGCUCAGGUCAUGAUCUCACAGUUUGUGGGUUCAAGUCCUGCCUCGGGCU